UGGCGGACGGGUGAGUAAUGUCUGGGAAACUGCCUGAUGGAGGGGGAUAACUACUGAAACGGUAGCUAAUACCGCAUAACGUCGCAAGACCAAAGAGGGGGACCUUCGGGCCUCUUGCCAUCGGAUGUGCCCAGAUGGGAUUAGCUAGUAGGUGGGGUAACGGCUCACCUAGGCGACGAUCCCUAGCUGGUCUGAGAGGAUGACCAGCCACACUGGAACUGAGACACGGUCCAG
rnacentral:rRNA from 1 species